CCGUUGCCGGCGACCGGCGCACGGGUGAGUAACACGUAUGCAACCUGCCCGUGGCAGGGGGAUAAGCGGGGGAAACCCGUCUAAUACCGCGUAACGCGGCCUAGGGACAUCCCAAGGCCGCCAAAGGGGAGGUCGAAAUACCCGGCCACGGGAAUGGGCAUGCGGCGCAUUAGCUAGUCGGCGGGGUAACGGCCCACCGAGGCGACGAUGCGUAGGGGUUCUGGAGAGGAAGGCCCCCACCACUGGUACUGAGACACGGACCAGACUCCUACGGGAGGCAGCAG
rnacentral:rRNA from 1 species